rnacentral:tRNA from 1 species
CGGGAUGUAAUUCAGUGGCCAGAAGCCAUACUUUGGGAGUAUGGAGCCGCAGGUACUCCUUUGGAGAACGCUAACGCGAACAAAUCCUGCCAUCCCGA